rnacentral:rRNA from 1 species
CCUACGGGAGGCAGCAGUAAGGAAUAUUGGUCAAUGGACGAAAGUCUGAACCAGCCAUGCCGCGUGAAGGAUGACGGCCCUCUGGGUUGUAAACUUCUUUUAUAGGGGACGAAAAAAGGGUAUUCUUACCCACUUGACGGUACCCUAGGAAUAAGCACCGGCUAACUCCGUGCCAGCAGCCGCGGUAAUACGGAGGGUGCAAGCGUUAUCCGGAUUCACUGGGUUUAAAGGGUGCGUAGGUGGGUCUAUAAGUCAGUGGUGAAAUCUCCGAGCUUAACUCGGAAACUGCCAUUGAUACUAUAGGCCUUGAAUUAUCUGGAGGUAAGCGGAAUAUGUCAUGUAGCGGUGAAAUGCUUAGAUAUGACAUAGAACACCAAUUGCGAAGGCAGCUUACUACGGAUAUAUUGACACUGAGGCACGAAAGCGUGGGGAUCAAACAGGAUUAGAUACCCUGGUAGUCCGCGCCCUAAACUAUGGAUACUCGACAUCAGCGAUACACUGUUGGUGUCUGNGNGAGANAUAGUAUCCACCNGGAGACGACGCGAAGUAGUAACGUUAGAAGAAGUUAGAGCGNGAGAGNGCGAGGACGACGACGAGGAGAGG